CCUACGGGGGGCUGCAGUGGGGAAUAUUGCACAAUGGGCGCAAGCCUGAUGCAGCCAUGCCGCGUGUGUGAAGAAGGCCUUCGGGUUGUAAAGCACUUUCAGCGGGGAGGAAGGCGGUGAGGUUAAUAACCUCAUCGAUUGACGUUACCCGCAGAAGAAGCACCGGCUAACUCCGUGCCAGCAGCCGCGGUAAUACGGAGGGUGCAAGCGUUAAUCGGAAUUACUGGGCGUAAAGCGCACGCAGGCGGUCUGUCAAGUCGGAUGUGAAAUCCCCGGGCUCAACCUGGGAACUGCAUUCGAAACUGGCAGGCUAGAGUCUUGUAGAGGGGGGUAGAAUUCCAGGUGGAGCGGUGAAAUGCGUAGAGAUCUGGAGGAAUACCGGUGGCGAAGGCGGCCCCCUGGACAAAGACUGACGCUCAGGUGCGAAAGCGUGGGGAGCAAACAGGAUUAGAUACCCGGGUAGUC
rnacentral:rRNA from 1 species